GACGAACGCUGGCGGCGUGCUUUACACAUGCAAGUCGAACGGUGAAGGUGGAGCUUGCUCCGCCGGAUCAGUGGCGAACGGGUGAGUAACACGUGGGCAACCUGCCCCUAACUUUGGGAUAACUACUCGAAAGAGUAGCUAAUACCGGAUAUGAAGUCUGUAGGCAUCUACGGAUUUGGAAAGUUUUUCGGUUAGGGAUGGGCCCGCGGCCUAUCAGCUUGUUGGUGAGGUAGUGGCUCACCAAGGCGACGACGGGUAGCCGGCCUGAGAGGGCGACCGGCCACACUGGGACUGAGACACGGCCCAGACUCCUACGGGAGGCAGCAGUGGGGAAUAUUGCGCAAUGGGCGAAAGCCUGACGCAGCAACGCCGCGUGCGGGAUGAAGGCCUUCGGGUUGUAAACCGCUUUCAGCAGGGAAGAAGCGAAAGUGACGGUACCUGCAGAAGAAGCACCGGCUAACUACGUGCCAGCCGCCGCCGUAA
rnacentral:rRNA from 1 species